rnacentral:rRNA from 1 species
GAGUUUGAUCAUGGCUCAGAUUGAACGCUGGCGGCAGGCUUAACACAUGCAAGUCGAGCGGGCGAGGUUGCUUCGGUAACUGAGCUAGCGGCGGACGGGUGAGUAAUGCGUAGGAAGCUACCCGACAGAGGGGGAUACCAGUUGGAAACGACUGUUAAUACCGCAUAAUGUCUACGGACCAAAGUGUGGGACCUUCGGGCCACAUGCUGUCGGAUGCGCCUACGUGGGAUUAGCUAGUUGGUGGGGUAAUGGCUCACCAAGGCGACGAUCUGUAGCGGGUCUGAGAGGAUGAUCCGCCACACUGGGACUGAGACACGGCCCAGACUCCUACGGGAGGCAGCAGUGGGGAAUAUUGGACAAUGGGGGGAACCCUGAUCCAGCCAUGCCGCGUGUGUGAAGAAGGCCUGUUGGUUGUAAAGCACUUUAAGUGGGGAGGAGGCUUACCUGGUUAAUACCUGGGCUAAGUGGACGUUACCCACAGAAUAAGCACCGGCUAACUCUGUGCCAGCAGCCGCGGUAAU